CUGUUUGGCAUGAUAGUGAGCUUAGGGGCGAACCAUUAGAAAAGUGAUUGGGGGGGGGGGGGGGGGGGGGAGCAAAAAUAAAAAUCGAGCAGGGGAAACAGAAAGAAAAAAAAUUCAUGCACCAAAAAAGUUUGAAAAAAAAUUCGUGCAGAGACUUUUCAAUAGGGAAAAUUAUAAGUUGAAAUAAAAACAAAUUCGAGCAAGGGAUUAUAUUUAAAAAAUUAUCGACACAAGCAAAAAAUUUUGAAAAAAUAUUCGUACAAAUUGAAAAAGUCCCCCCCCCC